UCUGUACAGGUAAUUCUACAAAACCCGUCUCAGAAGAGUCCUCCUGUCAGACCUCAGACACAGACAAAAGGAUGCUAAGUGCCAUAUCCUGCAAUAUGUGGACGACCUACUUCUGAUGGCAGAGACUCGUACUCAAUGCUGGGAAGGAACUAAGACUCUCCUGGGCCUGCUAGAACAGGCCGGAUAUACGGUGUCAUGGAAAAAGGCCUAAAUCCGCCAGACUGAGGUAAAGUACCUGGGAUUCAUUAUAAAGGAGGGGAGGCAUGCCUUGGGCUUAGAAUGGAAACAAGUUUUCAAUCAGAUAUGCCAGCCUACUAUCAAAAGGCGUGAGAGAAUUUUGAGGAGCCAUGGGGUUCUGCUGGAUUUGGAUACCUGGCUUUUCACAGAUAGCUAAACCCUGGUAUGCUGCCACUAAAGACCCCGGGAAUGACUCUCUAAUUUGGGGUCCAGAACAGAAUCACGCUUUUGAACUAUUAAAGAGAGCCAUAAAGGCCCCACACUAGGCCUCCCUGAUUUAACCAAACCUUUCACUUGGUACGUCCAUGAGAAAGAACAAGAAGCACGGGAGUGCUGACACAAGCAAUAGGCUCACGGUAGCGACCUGUGGCUUAUUUAUCCGAAAGGUUGGAUCCUGUAGCCUCUGGGUGGCCCCAAUGUCUGAGAGCAGUGGCAGCCACCACCAUUUUAAUGAGAGAAGCUGACAAACUAUGGGACAGACUAUUAUAAUAAAAGUGCCACAUGCCAUCGUCACUCUCCUAAUGGGGCCUGGGGCAAGGUGGCUUUCCACCUCUCAGAUGCUGCAUUACCAAGGAGACUUUUAUACGAAAAUCCCCAACUUAAGGGUGGAACCCUGUCAGGCUUUAAACCCAGCAACUUACUUACUGGUAAGCCAAGGCACUCCCAGCCAUAGUUGUGAGGAGAUGCUAGAGGAAGUCUUUUCUAGCCGACCAGACCUCAGAGACAUCCCCUUAAGUCAACCAGACGAGACUUACUACACAGACAGGACCGCCUACUUGGAACAAGGACACGAGAAAACUGGAUACGCGGUAACAACAGACGCAGUAGUCGAAGCAGGACGACUCCCCCUCAUACCGCUCGGCUCAACGAGCAGAGCUCUGGGCGCUCAUACGGGGUCCUGAAAUUGGCUAAAGACUUGUGUGCCUAUGCAAGCUGACGAUGGGUAACCUGUGCCAGGAAUAACCCGGCUCCAAGGAGAUAGCCCCUCCCGGAAUACAAUUAAAGGGGACCACACCAUUUGAACUCCUGGACUUCACUGAGGUAAAGCCAUGCCGAGGAUACAAAUAUUUACUGGUGAUGGUAUGUACCUUUAUAUCCGACAAGGACUGAGAAAGCAAAGGAAGUGGCCCGAGGCAUGCUGAGAGACAUUAUUGCUAGGUUUGGGUUCCCUCAGAGUAUAGGAUCAGAUAAUGGGCCCCCAUUUGUGGCUGUUACUCCAAUUGGUUUGCAAAGCAAUGACUAUCAAAUGGAAACUACAUGCAGCAUACAGACCACAAAGUUCAGGGGUGGUUGAGAAAAUAAACCGGACCAUCAAAGUAACUUUGGCAAAAUGGGUGCAAGAGACUGGGGCCCCCUGGAUGGAUAUGCUGCCACUAGGGUUAAUGAAGAUCAGAAUGACAAUCACCCCCACCCCCAACCUGGGGUAUUCCCCCUAUGAGAUAAUGUUCAAGAGGCCUCCCCCUCUUAUUCGGGAAGUAAAAGGCAAUCUAUUACAGAAAGGAGGAAUGGAGGUGUCGCGGCAAUGGAACAAUUGGGAAAGGUGAUCCAUGACCUCACCCCUUAUGUUCAAAAAAGAAUUCCAUUUUCUCUAGACACUGCUGUACACCCAUACUCACCGGGAGAUUUAGUAUGAGUAAAGGAUUGGAAGCAACAGACACUGUCCCCCACCUGGAAAGGGCCUUACACAACUGCACUAACCACUCCCUCUGCAGUUAAAAUUGCAGGUAUUACUCCCUAGAUUCACCACACCCGGCUCAAGACAGCAGCAGAGGAAAAAGGACACUGGACCACCCAUUCUAACCCAGAGGAGCCACUGAAGACCCGACUUGUCUUCCAUUGGCAACCACAGAUUCAGGAUGGAGCCGCUGAGAAUAAUUCUUCUGUUCCUGAUUGGCAUGAUGACCCUACCAGGACUGCAAACAGGAUACUGUGUUCCUGUCCUGGGCCCACUCAUAUGCUGCUGCUGCUAAGUCGCUUCAGUCAUGUCCGACUCUGUGCAACCCCAGAGAUGGCAGCCCACCAGGCUUCCCUGUCCCUGGGAUUCUCCA